rnacentral:rRNA from 1 species
AUUGAACGCUGGCGGCAGGCCUAACACAUGCAAGUCGAACGAGUGGCGGACGGGUGAGUAACGUCUGGGAAAUUGCCUGAUGGAGGGGGAUAACUCCUGAAAACGGUAGCUAAUACCGCAUACCAUCGGAUGUGCCCAGAUGGGAUUAGCUAGUAGGUGGGGUAACGGCUCACCUAGGCCACGAUCCCUAGCUGGUCUGAGAGGAUGUCCAGCCACACUGGAACUGAGACACGGUCCAGACUCCUACGGGAGGCAGCAGUGGGGAAUAUUGCACAAUGGGUGCAAGCCUGAUGCAGCCAUGCCGCGUGUAUGAAGAAGGCCUUCGGGUUGUAAAGUACUUUCAGCAGGGAGGCGUUACCCGCAGAGGAAGCACCGGCUAACUCCGUGCCAGCAGCCGCGGUAAUAC